rnacentral:rRNA from 1 species
CCUACGGGAGGCAGCAGUGGGGAAUAUUGGGCAAUGGGCGCAAGCCUGACGCAGCAACGCCGCGUGAAGGAAGAAUGUUUUCGGAUUGUAAACUUCUGUUCUGAGGGACGAAGAAAGUGACGGUACCUCAGGAAUAAGCCACGGCUAACUACGUGCCAGCAGCCGCGGUAAUACGUAGGUGGCACGCGUUAUCCGGAUUUAUGGGGUGUAAAGGGCGUGUAGGCGGGAAGGCAAGUCAGAGGUGAAAUCUCAGGGCUCAAACGUGAGACUGCAUUUGAAACUGUUUUUCUUGAGUGCUGGAGAGGCAAGCGGAAUUCCGGGUGUAGCGGUGAAAUGCGUAGAUAUACGGAGGAACAUCAGUGGCGAAGGCGGAUAGCUGGAACGUAACUGACGCUGAGGCGCGAAAGCGUGGGGAGCAAACAGGAUUAGAUACCCGGGUAGUC